AGGAUUGACCUAUCAGUGGAUCACAAUAACUCAAUUGCUAUGUACAUAUGACCAUAUAAGAUGACGGUAAGCAAAAUGAACUCCAAGAUAUGGAAACAGAAGGUUUUCCUUUAUUGUUGUCAUUUUUAAUGUACUGCAU